rnacentral:rRNA from 1 species
CCUACGUGACGCUGCAGUGGGGAAUAUUGCGCAAUGGGCGCAAGCCUGACGCAGCGACGCCGCGUGAGGGAUGAAGGUCUUCGGAUCGUAAACCUCUGUCAGCAGGGAAGAACGGUCACUGUGCUAAUCAGCAGUGAAUUGACGGUACCUGCAAAGGAAGCACCGGCUAACUCCGUGCCAGCAGCCGCGGGAAUACGGAGGGUGCGAGCGUUAAUCGGAAUUACUGGGCGUAAAGCGCUCGUAGGCGGUAUGUCAAGUCAAGGGUGAAAUCCCCGCGCUCAACGUGGGAACUGCCUUUGAAACGGGCAAACUGGAGUGUGUGAGAGGAUAGUGGAAUUCCAGGUGUAGGAGUGAAAUCCGUAGAUAUCUGGAGGAACAUCAGUGGCGAAGGCGACUAUCUGGCACAUAACUGACGCUGAGGAGCGAAAGCGUGGGUAGCAAACAGGAUUAGAUACCCUUGUAGUC